rnacentral:rRNA from 2 species
UACGGAGGGUGCGAGCGUUGUUCGGAAUCACUGGGCGUAAAGGGCGUGUAGGCGGUCUGUUAAGUCUGAUGUGAAAGCCCGGGGCUCACCCCCGGAAGUGCAUUGGAUACUGGCGGACUCGAGUCCCGGAGAGGAGGGUGGAAUUCCUGGUGUAGCGGUGAAAUGCGUAGAUAUCAGGAGGAACACCGGUGGCGAAGGCGGCCCUCUGGACGGUGACUGACGCUGAGACGCGAAAGCGUGGGGAGCAAACAGG